rnacentral:tRNA from 1 species
GGGGCUGUAGCUCAGUCGGUAGAGCAUCUGCUUUGCAAGCAGGGGGUCAGGAGUUCGAGCCUCCUCAGCUCCACCA